UGAUACAUGGAUGCACAUGGCAUACCCCAGUCCCAGAAUUCCAGCACAGUGGUCUGUCUUCUACGGUGACUGUAAAUUCUGCAAUAUGAAAUAUUUCAGUGAUUAGAGUGCUGUGUUUCCUGGGAUCUGGCAAAGGCUGAGUAUUCAUUCAGGAAGCGAGCAAACAACUGGUGGAAUCUCUUCACAGUGUCAUGGACAGUUUACUCAUUGUUAAGCAUCCACAAGACCCUCAAACCUGGACAGAACAUGAAAGAACAUUGUUCCUGCUCCAUCUUCUAAAUAAGUCAGAGUACCCCAAGUAAGGAUCAGCAGAACUUUCUACUGCCUGUAGUAGGCAUGACAUUGUCUAAUGAAGGCACAGGGUGCUGCAGACCCAGAUAAAACACAGAGGACAUGACGUAUGCCUGGAGAGAUGCAUCUGGGGGCACAGAAACCCACCGCGGACGUCUUCAUUCUCCAUGUCUGCAUAUCCGAUCACCUAGAAAACGUUUGUGGGCCGCCAGUGUUCAUUUGGUUCAUCCAUAUACCUCAGAUGGAACCAUUGCGGACCCAUGAUAAAUGUGCCUGGUAAUCAAACUUCAAAUUAAGCAGAGAAUAACAUGCUUCCAUGUCUGAGAAAGAUGUUCUAGUAAGUCUUUAAGAUAAGCAAGGAUUUUCAAAGGAAAUAUUUAUGAAAAUAGUUUUCUUUUGAAAGAACCAGUAAAAAAAGCUAACGGGAUUAAUGAGGACCAC